rnacentral:rRNA from 1 species
GUGUCGGCGCUUCAUACAUGCAGUCGAGGGGCAGCAUAAAGUACUUGUACUUUGAUGGCGACCGGCGAACGGGUGCGUAACGCGUAUGCAACUUACCUUUUACUAGAGAAUAGCCAAGAGAAAUUUUGAUUAAUGCUCUAUACUCUUCUUAACUCACAUGAGUUUUUAAGAAAAGCUCCGGCGGUAAAAGAUGGGCAUGCGUCCUAUUAGCUUGUAGGUGAGGUAACGGCUCACCUAAGCUCCGAUAGGUAGGGGUCCUGAGAGGGAGAUCCCCCACACUGGUACUGAGACACGGACCAGACUCCUACGGGAGGCAGCAGUGAGGAAUAUUGGGCAAUGGAGGCAACUCUGACCCAGCCAUGCCGCGUGCAGGAAGAAUGCCCUAUGGGUUGUAAACUGCUUUUAUUUAGGAAUAAACCCCUUUACGUGUAGAGGGCUGAAUGUACUAAACGAAUAAGCACCGGCUAACUCCGUGCCAGCAGCCGCGGUAAUACGGAGGGUGCAAGCGUUAUCCGGAAUCAUUGGGUUUAAAGGGUCCGCAGGCGGAUGUAUAAGUCAGUGGUGAAAUCCUGCAGCUUAACUGCAGAACUGCCAUUGAUACUGUACAUCUUGAAUUCGGUCGAAGUGGGCGGAAUGUGUAGUGUAGCGGUGAAAUGCAUAGAUAUUACACAGAACACCGAUAGCGAAGGCAGCUCACUAGGCCUGGAUUGACGCUCAGGGACGAAAGCGUGGGGAUCAAACAGGAUUAGAUACCCUGGUAGUCCACGCUGUAAACGAUGAUUACUCGUUUUCGGCGAAAUAC